GUUUGGGUUAGGUUUGGGUUUGGAUUAGGUUUGGGUUUGGUUUAAAUUUUUUUAGGUUUGGGUUUGGUUUGGGUUUGGAUUAGGUUUGGGUUUGGAUUAGGUUUGGGUUUGGUUUAAAUUUUUUUAGGUUUAGGUUUGGGUUAGGUUUGGGUUAGGUUUGUGUUAGGUUUGGGUUAGGCUUGGGUUUUGUUAGGUUUGUGUUUGGGUUAGGUUUAGGUAUGGUUUGGGUUUGGGUUAGGUUUGGGUUUGGUUUGAAUUUUGUUAUGCUUCGGUUUGAUUAGGUUUGGGUUUUGUUAGGUUUGAGUUUUGUUAGGUUUGGGUUUGGGUUAGGUUUGGGUUGGGUUUGGGUUAGGCUUGGGUUUGGUUUUAAUUUUGUUAGGUUUGGGUUUUUUUGGGUUGGUUUUUGUUCAGUUUGGGUUUUGUUAGGUUUGGGUCUCUUAGGUUUGGAUUUUGUUAGGUUUGGGUUUC